CAAAUACUCCCUCCGUCCGGAAAUACUUGUCAUCAAAAUGGAUAAAAGGAAAUGUAUCUAGACGUAUUUUAGUUUUAGAUACAUCUAUUUUUAUCCAUUUUGAUGACAAGUAUUUUCGGACGGACGGAGUAGAAA
rnacentral:pre_miRNA from 1 species